rnacentral:rRNA from 1 species
AGAGCGAACGCUGGCGGCAGGCUUAACACAUGCAAGUCGAGCGGGCGUAGCAAUACGUCAGCGGCAGACGGGUGAGUAACGCGUGGGAACAUACCUUUUGGUUCGGAACAACCCAGGGAAACUUGGGCUAAUACCGGAUAAGCCCUUACGGGGAAAGAUUUAUCGCCGAAAGAUUGGCCCGCGUCUGAUUAGCUAGUUGGUGAGGUAACGGCUCACCAAGGCGACGAUCAGUAGCUGGUCUGAGAGGAUGAUCAGCCACAUUGGGACUGAGACACGGCCCAAACUCCUACGGGAGGCAGCAGUGGGAAUAUUGGACAAUGGGCGCAAGCCUGAUCCAGCCAUGCCGCGUGAGUGAUGAAGGCCCUAGGGUUGUAAAGCUCUUUUGUGCGGGAAGAUAAUGACGGUACCGCAAGAAUAAGCCCGGCUAACUUCGCGCCAGCAGCCGC